CAAAAAGAAGCCUAGUACUCCUGCUGUGCUCGUGCUCAUGAGAACAGUGACUAUCUAACUGAAGAUAUGCAAUCGCCUGUAAAUAUCAAGAUGGGCUUUCAUCCAUUGUGAAGGGGAAGGAAAGUGAACUAUCAUGGGGGGUGAUCUUCAUACCAAGGAUGCUGUGUGUGUCCUCUCAGUGAUCCUAGGUCAAUACUGAGGGGAUCUAAUAAAGGGCUGUAAUGGUUGCAGAAAAACGAGCCAUUUGCUGCAAUUACGUGCAGGAAUAGUGGAUACUUGGGAUAUCAAAACACAGCUGCUGAUGUAUCUGUAAGAUGUGGCCUAGCACUUACCACAUUCAUAUCACAUUGAUCCUUACUUUACUAAUGGCAUUAACGGACAAUUAGAUAAGAUAAGUGUUGAUCAAAGUUAUCUCGUUGACUUUGUGGAACAUUCGGGUUUGACGUUAAACUUAUCAGAAGCGAGUGUGAUUAAGAACAAGAAAAUCACGGUUAUUAACUCUGCUGGUGCCCAGUUUCGGAAUUUUAUUGCACAUCGUUCCCUGUCGAAAUUGUCUGCUUCGUGCUGAGAACCUGUAUUCGCAAAAAAUACCUUGUCAUCGUUGUUUUGUCAUAGGUAGUUGUGUGGAAUGGGCAUGUA